GGGGGGGGGGGGGGGGGGGGGGGGGGGGGGGGGGGGGGGGGGGGGGGGGCCGCAGCCCGGGGUGCGGGGGACACGCGGUGACACCGAGGGGACAGACGCGGAAGGGAGGGACGCGAGCCACCCCCGAGGGGGAAAAAGGGGGAAUGAUGGGAAUUCUUCCCGUUUUAUGUACAAAAUUCCCGGCUGGGGGAGGGGACAGGGACACCCAGGGACCACCGCCCUCCCUGUGGUCAAAAUAAUUCUGAUCAUUAAUAUCGAUAAUAAUGGCGAUAAUUGAUGGCAGGCGACAGGGACCACGGUGUCCCCACAGCCCGGGUGGCACCAGGAUCCUGAUCCUGGACAGGCAGAGACCCGGGAUCUGGGAUUCUGGGAUCGGAUCUGGAGUUGUGGCCGAGGCUCUGGAUGUGGAGUGGGGAGAGAGCCGGGAAAGGUCGGGGGAGCCGGGUCCCACCAGAGCGUCUGUCCUGUCCUGGGGCGUCCGUCCCACCUUGGAGUGUCCAUCUCUCCUGGGAGCAUCCAUCCUGUCCCGGAUCAUCCCUCCUGCCUUGGAGUCCCUCCAUCCAUCCAUCAUCCAUCCAUCCAUCAUCCAUCCAUCCAUCCAUCCAUCCAUCCACUCCAUCCGUCCAUCAUCCCUCCAUCCAUCCAUCAUCCAUCCCACUCCAGAUCAUCCCCCCUUCUCAGAAGCAUCCAUCUUUUCCUGGAUCAUCCAUCCCAUCCUGGAGCAUCCAUCCUGUUCCAGAGCUUCCAUCCCACCUUGGAUCAUCCAUCCUUUUCCAGAGCUUCCAUCCCACCUUGGAUCAUCCAUCCUUUUCCAGAGCAUCCAUUCCACUCUGGAGCUUCCAUCCCACCCCGGACCAUCCAUCCUUUUCCAUCCCACCCCGGAUCAUCCUUCAUAUUCCAGAGCAUCCAUCCCACCUUGGAUCAUCCAUCCUUUUCCGGAGCUUCCAUCCCAUCCUGGACCAUCCAUCCCUUCUCCAUCCCACCUUGGAUCACCCCUCCCGCCCCUCCCGGCGCCUCCACCCCGCGCCCUCCUCUGCCCCACAUUCCCGGCUCUCUCCGUCUCUUCCCGAGGCCAAACCCAGGAAUUUUGGCUCAUUUUGGGAUUUCCCCAAGUCCCCCCUCAGCCGGGCCAGGCUGGGAUCCCUCGGGAUUGGGACAUCGGGGGGCUGGGUCCCCUCACCCCGGCGCCAUCCCGGCUCUGAGGGGGGGGCACAGGGGACAGGGAUGUCCCCAGUCCUCGUCCCCGCUCCUGUCCCGGCGGGAUGGGGGAUCCGGAAACGCCGUCCUUAGGAAUAGGCCAAUCCCUGGAGCGGCCGCGCCGGAGCGUGGAAUUUGUCCGAGUCCUCAAAAGCUGGGUCUGGGCAGGACAGGGACAGCAUCAGCCAGGGGACACUGGGGACACAGCAGGACAGGGACAAGGGUGGCAUGGGACAGCCCCAGGUAUGGGUGUCACACGGGCAGGGACAACAGGGAGAGAGUGCGGUGACAUUGGGGACCCUCCGUGGGGCAGGGGGGCUCGGCGUGGGUGUUGGGGACACUGGGGACCUUGGGGACACAGAGGGGACAGGGCCCAUGGCACAGGGCAGCCCCAACCAUGUCGGGCAGGGACAAGGAUUACAGUGACACCGAGGUCCGUCUGUGGGGCAGGGGCACCUGGGGACAGAUGUGGGGGACCUUGGGACCCUGGGGACGCUGGGAGAGAGUGACAAGGGUGGCACCGGGCAGCCUCACAUUCCCAUGUACAGGACAUCAGCACGGUGACACUGGGCACCCUCCACGGGGCAGAAGCAAC
rnacentral:lncRNA from 12 species